rnacentral:rRNA from 1 species
AAGAACUAACAAGGAUUCCCCUAGUAACUGCGAGUGAAGCGGGAAGAGCUCAAAUUUAAAAUCUGGCGGCCCCGCCGUCCGAGUUGUAAUUUAGAGAAGCGUUUUCCGCGCCGGACCGUGUACAAGUCUCCUGGAACGGAGCGUCAUAGAGGGUGAGAAUCCCGUCUUUGACACGGACGCCCGGUGCUCUGUGAUACGCUCUCGAAGAGUCGAGUUGUUUGGGAAUGCAGCUCAAAAUGGGUGGUGAACUCCAUCUAAAGCUAAAUAUUGGCGAGAGACCGAUAGCGAACAAGUACCGUGAGGGAAAGAUGAAAAGCACUUUGGAAAGAGAGUGAAACAGUACGUGAAAUUGCUGAAAGGGAAACGCUUGAAGUCAGUCGCGUCCGCCGGGAUUCAGCCUUCGUGGUGUACUUUCCGGCGGACGGGCCAGCAUCACUUUUGGCCGCCGGAGAAGGGCGGGGGGAAUGUGGCACCUCCGGGUGUGUUAUAGCCCUCCGUCGUAUACGGUGGCCGGGAGUGAGGACCGCCUUUUGCAGGAUGCUGGCGUAAUGGCUUUAAACGACCCGUCUUG